rnacentral:rRNA from 1 species
UACGAAGGGUGCAAGCGUUACUCGGAAUUACUGGGCUUAAAGGGUGCGUAGGUGGUUUGUUAAGUCUGCUGUGAAAUCCCCGGGCUCAACCUGGGAAUGGCAGUGGAUACUGGCAAGCUAGAGUGUGGCAGAGGGGGGUGGAAUUCCGCGUGUAGCAGUGAAAUGCGUAGAGAUGCGGAGGAACACCGAUGGCGAAGGCAGCACCGUGGGCUAAAACUGACGCUCAGGCACGAAAGCGUGGGGAGCAAACAGG